ACGACCACAUCGCAUUAAAACACCCGUUCCCAUAUGGUCAGCGAAAAUAAUCAUCGUCGAGCCUGAUCAGUACCUCGAUAGGUGACCACUGGGGAAUACCAGGUGUUGCAAG